UACGUAGGGUGCAAGCGUUAAUCGGAAUUACUGGGCGUAAAGCGUGCGCAGGCGGCUUUGCAAGACAGAUGUGAAAUCCCCGGGCUUAACCUGGGAACUGCAUUUGUGACUGCAUGGCUGGAGUGCGGCAGAGGGGAUGGAAUUCCGCGUGUAGCAGUGAAAUGCGUAGAUAUGCGGAGGAACACCGAUGGCGAAGGCAGUGUUCUGGGCCAGUACUGACGCUGAGGAGCGAAAGCGUGGGUAGCAAACAGG
rnacentral:rRNA from 1 species